GCUAGUAAUCGCAGAUCAGCAACGCUGCGGUGAAUACGUUCCCGGGCCUUGUACACACCGCCCGUCAAGUCACGAAAGUUGGUAACACCCGAAGCCGGUGGCCUAACCCCUUGUGGGAGGGAGCCGUCGAAGGUGGGACUGGCGAUUGGGACUAAGUCGUAACAAGGUAGCCGUACCGGAAGGUGCGGCUGGAUCACCUCCUUUCUAAGGAG
rnacentral:rRNA from 1 species